AUUCAAAAUCGAACCUUUUGAACUCAGUGAUGGAGGAGAAUCAGAAGAUUGAGUUGAGAAUUUGAAAUCGCUGACGGUGAAGGACGGUUGAGAAUCGUUAAUCCAUCUGAAGGACCUGAAAAGUUGUCGUUGGUGGCGCCGCCGAUGGUUUGGAAGAUCGGUGAUAGGUUGUGUGAAGAAGCCGAAGCAGUUUUGGAUGAAGAGGAGGCGGUGAAGGAGUCUGUUUGGAUGGAGUGUGAAGAGGAGAUGGUGAGAUG
rnacentral:lncRNA from 1 species